rnacentral:lncRNA from 1 species
UCUGCAUCUCUGCAUCCUUCAGACCAGUCUAGGUUAGCUCCAGAACUCUCCCUUUCUUCACGACUCUAUUUCUAAACUGUGCCGAUCUUCCUUCAUUGCAGAUAUGAGUGCAGACGCGGCUCGGAUGUUAGCCAAGAGUCUCAAGGCCCACAAGAGGGAAGGCACUGUAACUUCUGGGUUGGCGAAGAAGGCGAGGGUAGAAGAGACAGAUUCGGUCAUGCUUCGCCUUGAUCGCCCAGAGCCCGCGC